rnacentral:lncRNA from 1 species
AAUUUUAAUGAAGCAUCACAACGUCCCUGUUAUGAUGCAUAUGAAUUCUUGUUUCCGUGAAGCUGCCUAUGGGGAAAACCAUAAGCAGCUGAUGAUAUUUACCUCUAGAUGACACCAUGCUCAUAGGAAGUUGAUGUUAUUCACCUCUAGAUGACACCAUGCUCAUAGUAUGCUUUUCUUUCUACAGUCCUGAGGUUGGCUGUAAAUGUAGAGUAGUACUAGUAUCUAUUGACAGAUGAAUAUAUG